CCUGGGCACCAGGUCCAAAGGAACUAGAGGCUACCCUGGGCACCAGGUCUAAGGGAAGUAGAGGCUAGCCUGGGUACCAGGUCUAAGGGAAGUAGAGGCUACCCUGGGCACCAGGUCCAAGGGAAGUAGAGGCUAGCCUGGGUACCAGGUCUAAGGGAAAAGUAGAGGCUAGCCCGGGCACCCAGCGCUGCAGGUAUGAAGCUGUCGCUGCUCAGCAAGAGCUGGCAGGCCCCAACUGGCCGGUCUUCCAGUUAUCCUCUCUCUGCGGUAGGGCACCACAAAGGGACGCUGGGACAGGAGCCUGGGGAACUGCCUCCCUCCCCGCCCAUCCACACAGGCUUCCCCAGGGGGGCUGGGGACCAGGGGCAGCAGCAGUGCCAGCUCAUGGUCCAGGAAAAGGUGCAAAAGUAAGCCAUGCAGCGGUGGUAGUGCAUGGCUUUAAUGCCAAUACUUGGAGGCAGAGGCAGGUGGAUCUUUAUGAAAUUGAAGCUAGCCUGGUCUACAGAGUGAGUUCCAGGACAGUCAGGACUACACAGAGAAAUUUUGCUUCAAAAAAACCAAAAAGAAAAAGUGCAGGGCUGGAGAGAUGGCUCAGUGGUUAAGAGCACUGACUUUUGUUCUAGAGGUCCUGAGUUCAAUUCCCAGCAACCACGUGGUGGCUCACAACCAUCUAUAAUGGGAUCCAAUGCCCUCUUCUGGUGUGUCUGAAGACAGCUACAGUGUACUCAUAUAAAUAAAAAUAAAUAAACCUUUAAAAAAAUAUUUACUGAUAAAAAAUACACAGCCAGGCAGUGGUGGAGCAUGCCUGUAAUCCCAGCACUCUGGGAGGCAGAGGCAGGUGGAUCUCUAUGAGUUUGAGGCCAGCCUGGUCUACAGA